GAUUGAACGCUGGCGGCAUGCCUUACACAUGCAAGUCGAACGGCAGCACGGGGGCGAACCCUGGUGGCGAGUGGCGAACGGGUGAGUAACACAUCGGAACGUGCCCAGUAGUGGGGGAUAGCUCGGCGAAAGCCGGAUUAAUACCGCAUACGACCUACGGGUGAAAGCGGGGGAUCGCAAGACCUCGCGCUAUCGGAGCGGCCGAUGUCAGAUUAGGUUGUUGGUGGGGUAAAGGCCACCAAGCCGACGAUCUGUAGCUGGUCUGAGAGGACGACCAGCCACACUGGGACUGAGACACGGCCCAGACUCCUACGGGAGGCAGCAGUGGGGAAUUUUGGACAAUGGGCGCAAGCCUGAUCCAGCCAUGCCGCGUGCGGGAAGAAGGCCU
rnacentral:rRNA from 1 species